UACAGAGGGGGCAAGCGUUGUUCGGAAUUACUGGGCGUAAAGGGCGCGUAGGCGGCCCGCUAAGUCGAACGUGAAAUCCCCAGGCUUAACCUGGGAACUGCGUCCGAUACUGGCAGGCUUGAAUCCGGGAGAGGGAUGUGGAAUUCCAGGUGUAGCGGUGAAAUGCGUAGAUAUCUGGAGGAACACCGGUGGCGAAGGCGGCAUCCUGGACCAAUACUGACACUGAGGAGCGAAAGCCAGGGGAGCAAACGGG
rnacentral:rRNA from 1 species